rnacentral:piRNA from 1 species
UCAAGUUAUUUUGUUACCGCU